rnacentral:tRNA from 1 species
GGAUGCGCAGUUCGGCCGGCUCGGUGCCGAGGUUGCUCACCUCGAGUUGCGGCCGCUGGCCGAGCAGCGGGUUCGGCGCCCCGUCCGUCCGC